UGAAAGGAUAGGAGGCUUUAAUAGGGCUGAGAUUCAAAAUGCAGGUUGUGAGUGAAGCUGAGCUUUGGAAGGAACUAAGCAGACAUAGAGCAAGAAGCUCAGCUGUGCAUCCAGCUGUGUGCCGGGGUUCCUCAGGUACACGUGCACUUAAACCAUGGGCCUGCUGGUGCCCUUAUGUCAGAAGGGAUCCGAGCUGGAGUCACUCUGAAGGCAUAAG